GACGAACGCUGGCGGCGUGCUUAACACAUGCAAGUCGAACGGGGUAUAAGGAAGAGCUUGCUCUGAGCUAUACCUAGUGGCGGACGGGUGCGUAACGCGUGAACAAUCUGUCUUUGCGAGGGGGAUAACAUCUGGAAACAGAUGCUAAUACCGCAUGGGACCACAGUACCGCAUGGUACAGGGGUGAAAGGGCUUCGGCCCGCGCAGAGGUGAGUUCGCGUCCCAUUAGCUAGUUGGUGGGGUAGAAGCCUACCAAGGCGACGAUGGGUAGCCGAUCUGAGAGGAUGACCGGCCACACUGGAACUGAGAGACGGUCCAGACUCCUACGGGAGGCAGCAGUGGGGAAUAUUGGGCAAUGGGCGAAAGCCUGACCCAGCAACGCCGCGUGAGGGAAGAAGGUUUUCGGAUCGUAAACCUCUGUCGCAGGGGAUGAAGGAAGUGACAGUACCCUGUGAGGAAGCUCCGGCUAACUACGUGCCAGCAGCCGCAGUAACAC
rnacentral:rRNA from 1 species